rnacentral:rRNA from 1 species
UACGGGGGGGGCAAGCGUUGUUCGGAAUUAUUGGGCGUAAAGGGCUCGUAGGCGGUUUGUCGCGUCGGGAGUGAAAACUCGGAGCUUAACUCCGAGCCUGCUUCCGAUACGGGCAGACUAGAGGUAUGCAGGGGAGAACGGAAUUCCUGGUGUAGCGGUGAAAUGCGCAGAUAUCAGGAGGAACACCGGUGGCGAAGGCGGUUCUCUGGGCAUUACCUGACGCUGAGGAGCGAAAGUGUGGGGAGCGAACAGG